UUUGGGUUUUAAGCAUCAUUAUAUUCUAAACAGUUAACACUACCAUAUCAUCUCUACUAUAGAGAUAAUCAAUUAGAUUACAAUAAUCCAAUCAUUGAUUAAUAAAGAACAAUGUUUUGUCAAACAAAACAUUCAUCCAUCUUUCAUAGUGACGGAAUUAAGUUCCUUAAAAUUGGAAUGUAAAGACAAUCUUUGGUUUUUUCCAAUUUCUUUGGUAGUUCAUAUGAGGAAGUAAGUACCAUCUGCUUUCGCAGAGAUCUAUAUUUGAUUCACGUUUCGAAUGUGAAGUACUUUCUCUUCUCUCAUUAAUCUUCUACUUCUUAUUAGCCACACUUU
rnacentral:lncRNA from 1 species